UCUACGGGAGGCAGCAGUGGGGCAUAUUGGGCAAUGGACGCAAGUCUGACCCAGCAACGCCGCGUGAAGGAAGAAGGCUUUCGGGUUGUCAACUUCUUUUAAGGGGGAAGAGCAGAAGACGUUACCCCUUGAGUAAGCCACGGCUACCUACGUGCCAGCAGUCGCGGUAAUACGUAGGUGGCAAGCGUUGUCCGGAUUUACUGGGUGUAAAGGGCCUGCAGCCGGAGAGACAAGUCAGCUGUGAAAUCCGCAGGCUCAACCUGCGAACUUCAUUUGAAACCGUGUCCCUUGAGUAUCGGAGAGGUCAUCGGAAUUCCGAGUGUAGCGGUGAAAUGCGUAGAUAUUAGGAAGAACACCAGUGGCGAAGGCGGAUGACUGGACGACAACUGACGGUGAGGCGCGAAAGCGUGGGGAGCAAACAGGAUUAGAUACCCCAGUAGUC
rnacentral:rRNA from 1 species